CAGUCUAUGCUCUGUUCUAUGUUUUUUUAAUCAUAUAAAGAAAACUUUACUGAAACUGUGCAGCUCAGACUAACAGAUAAAAAAGUGACCUUUCACCUUGAAUAACACCAGGAGCUAAAUUUGGUACUCCGUAGACUGUUGAUAUCUUAAACUGUAUUUCUACACUAAAACUCUUUUCUUUGACAGAGUAAUCCAAUCAGUUUUAAUCUCACUGGCCGAAACAUCCAGCUUAAUGUCACAGUCUCCUCGUCCUCACCAGGAGACAGGCUAUCAAAGAAUUCACUGAUUAUACUUUGACCGCACUGACAUCCGCCAUCUUCAUUAUUAUGGCAGACACACAACAGAAAAUCAAUGGGGUCGUUGUAGACUUAAUAAAGGUAAUUUUUCUGCACUCCUGCUUUAUAGGGAGCCAAAAGAGGGAGGCUUAUUUCUGCUCUUAUUUUAUCCUCCCUCGCUGUUCAAUUUGUGACAAAAUGCAGGAGGGAUCGAUUCACGGGCCAUUAAAACUCUCAAAAGAAGAUUCAGACAGGGAAGGGCACAAGUUUUAUUUUGCGAUUUGAAUGAGGCAGAAAUUUUUGACUGAAAGGCUUAUUUGUGCUGAGGAUUGGACAUUUCUAUGAGAAAUGAGAGAAUAUCAAGGUGAAUUUGAAUUGAACUGAUCAGGCAUUUCACAGUCAUCUCUGCAGCACAGCAGACUAGACACUGUUUCAGUACAGAGAGAUCCUUUUUAAAGGAUUCUGGUUACAUGUCUGCUUAAAACCCAGCAUUAUCUAAGCCUGCACUCCAUUUUGACCCAUCAGUCAGUGCAUACACAUAUUGCACUAUUGUAUAUGCUUAACUUUGUCGAUACAUUUUCUUCUUCUUCUUCUUCUUCUUAUGCACACUUGGUUGCAACUAAGAUUAUAUCAGCACACAUCGAUGCGCACACUGUCACAUUUCAUGUAAAUCUGUCUUCACCAUCUAGGAUUUUUUAAUUUUUUUUAGGGAACAGCAGCAAAGCUCUUAUUCAAAUUUAAAACUGUCUCCAUUUUAUCUACAUCUUUAAUUUGAAUAUUUGAUGAGAUGCAAAGGUCUUGCACAGUGCACAUUUACAUACAGAAAGAUUAUUUCUCUGCAUAUGAAUGGAUUAUGUUGAUAAAAAUCACUUUCUCCUGUUAGUUCUGCUCUGAUUUAUUCAUGUUAUUAUAAAAAUGUAAAAAAAAAAAAAAAAAAGCUUAGCCACAUGACAUUACAGCAUUCAGGGCAAAUAUGUAUUUUGUUUGCCGCAGCUGUUUCUUCAUUUAUUUGUUCAAAGUCUUGUCAUACAUACACUCUCCAUUAACAGUCCCCGAUCAACCAAAAAGUAGACAAAGUUCCUGAGAGUAGUAGGAGGAGAAUAUUUGAAUGAUGUUGCAGGGCAGACGAGGGGCUGUAUGAGAUGCUGGUUAAAAAGGAUUGUCUGAGCUGGAGUGUAGCCUCUGGCAAGAGAUUAUUUUAUAAAUAGGAAAGCGUGGUGGAGCUCGCCUCGCAGCCAUGCAUCAGAUCAAGGACGGACAGCUUCAGCCUGAACACUAUUAAGCUAUUUUUCUCGAUUUAAACUCUUUUUUAAAGAAGGAUUUGAGCUCAUUGGAAGUUUCUUUUCCUCUUCACUUGGACAAGCAGGUUGAUAUGCUGUGGCUGCAGCACAGGAGCCAUCAGAAACACAUAAAAGUCUUCUCAUGUGACAGAGGAUGCAACUUAAACAGCAGCAUUCAAAAGACCUAUUACAACCUGCAAAUAAAACCCUUUGUUAUACCUUUGAUCGCAUGAGUUUUUGGGGUUGUGAUGUCUCAGUCUCAGUCCUGAGUUAAGCAGAUCUGCUCUGCGGUGCAAGUGUACAUGCCCCCGGCGUGCCCAGGUGAGGCGACCAUACAGACAGUGGCCUUGCUUUUGCCUGCGGCUUGUUUUCUGUGCAUGUCAACCUGAGGCUCUCGUGUUUAUCAUCUCAUCUCAUCUUCUCUCUCAGCAGCUGACAUGCCUUUAGAUUCAAAGCACUCCUCUAUGAAUUUUAAUGUCCACUUCUGAUCUUGACCCACCGGCUAGACUGAAAAUCCUGAACGCUUUAAAAACUCUGACAUACUUUCCCAGCAUGAGUGGGGUGUCUCAAUAAAAUAGACACAUGGGAACACGGGUCAGUGCUGUUUGCUAAAAGCAAGGAGUGUGCUCAAUUAUUCAGUGGACAUUGAGAGGGAGAGAAUACCGAUAGAGUCUGGAUUCAGAGAAGACAGUGAUUGUAUGUGCAGGGAGAUGAUAGGUGCACACAAUCAAUUAUAGAGAUCCAUCUAAAGGUUUCAUGUUCACCUGCUGAUAGAAUUCACUAAACAUGUCAGAGCUGACUGUCAGGGUUCAUCUUUUCAUCUUCUUCACAGCAAGGGAAGCUCUGUUUUAUUAAACGUACAGAGUUUGAUUGUUUUUCUAGUUUUCACAUUGCAGUCAGACCCACUUUGGUCAAAAAUAACUAUCUGCAUGCAGUAGUUAUAUUUGGUGGUUUGGUCCCUGCCUUUCCACAUGUAUACCUGAUGCUAAAGUUUGAGGCAGGAAGAGCACAACUCCCCUUGACUAAAGUCAUUAGUUUGCUCAAACACACAGUCAAGUCAUGCUACAGCCACAUCUCCCCUCUUCUUCUGAGGAGGUUUUGUUCUCUUCUUAGCUCCCUAGCAACCCAUUUAUGCUGUUCAACUUCCGGGUCAAACUCAGAGUGCAAACUAAGGAGAAUGCAUAGAGUGUUUAAACCAGGAGGCAUUUUCAUUGAAGUGAAAGUCUAACCCCAACUGCAGUAUCUACGCAUCUUAAUCUGACAACGAGAAGUUCAGUUUGCAUGUUACAACUACAGAGCAAUUCAGUUUGAUUCCAGUUGGACUGAUUUAUUAAAGGGAUAUUCCAGCUUAAAAUUAAGUUAGGGUCAAACACACCAUUACACCAAGUUAGACACCCCCUCGAAAAAUCAAUGCUGCCGACUUCUUGCCACUCUAGUUAUACCACCUUUAGCAGCCGCUUGUUAGUGGGGGAGCCCUGACAAGUUGAUCACGGAGUGCAGCGGAUCAUUUCCAUGAGGUAAUAAUAAUCAUUUUGCACUGCAGACGCGGUAGUUCUUUUGCCUUAGCGUCUUGGUCUGAUUGCAUUUCCAUGAACUGAUGAUCAUAAAUGUUCUUCCUUGAGCUGCGAAACUCUGCUGCACUCCGUGAUCGACUCGUCAGGGCUCCCACACAAACAAGCGGCUGCUGGAGUAGAGUGGGUGAGCUGUGUUUAGUCUCUUUGCUAAAGAAAUUCGGCAAAGCUAAAAAGAUGUUUUAAGGCUAGUACUAUGGCUGGGACCCUAUAUGUACUGUUGAUGAAGUUAGGUGCUGUUCUGAGCAUUAUUUGUGGUUAUAGAGUGGCUUUUUGGUUGAGGUUUGCGCAUGGAGACGUAGACCAUUAUGUAUUGCUGUAACAGUCUGCUCUGCCCCUCUCCUGCUCUGCUGCUCAGCCACACCCCUCAUCAGCUAACUGCUUCCACCUGCUGCUCUCACCUGCUCAUCAUCUCCAAUCAGGCCAGUAUAUAUGCAGCUUCUUUCCCCUCACUCUUUGCCAGAUUGUCUUCGCUCUCAUGCCUGACUCUCCAGCGUUAAUUCCCGGACUGCUUACCUGGUAUCGACCUGAUCUGCCCCUGACCUUUGCUUCUCGCCUCAGCCCCGGUAAACCUACCUGCCUUCUGUCCUUGACUACGAGCUUUGCCUGCCUGGUUCCUGCUAUUCGUCUGCCUGCGGCUGAAUGGCACUCAGCCUGUUCCUGCUCUGUUGAGAUCCCCCUUCUCGUCAGCUUCACCUCGCCAACUCACCUCCUCUGCCGACGUUGGUUCUGCCAGCUCCUCUGCAAGCUCUGGAUCCUCGUAGAGCAAAUUAAGACUGUGGACAAUUCCCUGCUCACGAGUCCAAAACUCUUGCCUGACCUGUGGUUCACUGCUAAUCUGCUCGCCUAUCACCCGGAAGACCCGAGUUCGAAUCCUGCCAUACCCACAUGCUAUACUCUGCUGCUUCAUUGCAUUUGGUGUUCAAUAAAGACUGUUGUUAAAGUGAACCUGCUUGUUUGUGCUGCAAUUGGGUCCGGUCAAUACCCGUUACAAUUGCUAUCAUGCAGUUGUUGCUAAAGUUGGUAUACCUAGAGAAGCAAGCAGUCGGCAACAUUCAUCUCUCGAGGGGGUAUCUAACUCGGUGUUACAGUAUCCCUAUAACAUGUAUUUUCAAAGUCUAGUUUUAACUUGUAAUUUGAUUUUUUGAACAUGUAGCCUUGUAAAUGCACUGAGCGACAGCACAUAUGACUGUUAAAAUCAGAGGACAUGAAGGAGCUGGGCUGGAGGUGGUUUGCAGCAAAAAAAAAAAAAAAAGGCAGGCUGUAGCAGCUUUAAUAUAACACCUAUUUGGACAUUUGCCAGCUGCAUUUGUAUGAAGGAAAUUGGUUGAGCUGCCAGCUGAUAUGGGCUGGCGGGGCUCGAGUUUCUGGCUCGUCUGAACUAACCCAGUGCUUAAUAUGCUCAGUCAAGAAGUUGCUUGUCAAGAUCUGGGAUCAUGUUUCCAUCAGUACAAACCAAGAAGUAAGGCAAUGAUGGUUGGCUUAGUUUAUUUGGAGUAGAAAAGAGAUCUUGGGCAGCAGUUACUGUAUGAACAAAGCAUUCAUGUAGUGAGAAGGAUUAUCUCUAAGCUUGUGUAAAGUCAUCUUGAUACUGCCUCCUAAUAAGACUGCUAUGAUGCGGCCAGCCUGUUUAUCCAAAGAUAAUAUGUGAAAAUUAUUGUAAAAGUCCAGAUAUCAGCUGAAGAAAAUUUAGUCAAAAUUGUUAACAUCUAUAAUGUUGUCCUGUUCUUUAGAGAAAAGAAGCAUAUCUGUUAUUUAAAUGAAGGACACAGCUGCUGAUAGGGAAGUCUAUUUGCAUGCAGUAUGUGUGUGUAUGGAUUUUUUUCAAUUUGUGUGUGUGAGUGCAUGUGUGUGUACAAGGAUGUAAUUAACAGUGGGGAGUAAAUGGGCAACCUGCCCUGACAGAGAGCCAGAGUGACACAAUGGCUUGCAUCAACAUACAAAUCCCAGCAUGCAUUUUUUUUAUUCAUGCUAUCCCUCACACCUCUUCAUCCCCCUGCCCUGCUCUCCCCUCACUCAUUCCCUCUUUACUUAUUCUCCUUGCCCCUUCUCACACACACACACACACACACACACACACACACACACACACACACACACACACACACACACACACACUAAAGCAGACGCUAGUGAUUUGCAUGGAGCGUUGUGCCCGUCAUGCCUGUGAGAAUCAGUAAUGUGACGCAAAUCAGCCCACUUUGUCUCAUCAAGAAGUGACACUGAGCCAGUGGGCAGCCUAAAACCAGCACCUCACUGCCUCAUGACUGCUGACUUUGACUUUGAAGACUGCGUUUGCUCACCUUUGGUGUCUGUUUGCUAGCAAAGUUUAAUCCCAGAUCGACAGCUGCAUGGCAGAGUACAAGCUGUGAAUACUGAGAGGUGUCACUCAUUGUUCUGGAGCGUUUGUUUUCCCCCUGUUGUUGGCUUGUUUCUCUCUAACUAUAGGCAGGUUGAUUAAACUUACAUGUCCGUAUUGAGCGAACAUGAGCAACACGUGCUGACUUUCCUGUCUUGUUUGUGUGUGUGUAUGUAUGUAUUGUGUGGCUGAACGCUUCGUGAGCUCGACAGGCCGGAUUAUAAUGAGAUCCCUGGGGCUGAAUGCAGGCUGCCUGUAAAACAACAGAUGUGACUGGACUCGCUCAGUCUCCCCCCCUCUCCCCACUCGCUGACAGAGCUGUCACUCACCCAGAAGGAGGAUGACUGGCAGGUGAGGAGGGCAGGAGAUAGGUGAACCACAGUGAGGACAGAGGAGGCUGACAUGAUCGCACAGCUCUGUGCUCUCAAAACAAAAAAAGGGAAAAAUCUGACAGCUGAAACAUCCCAAAUGUCAACAGCUUUAUCGCACCUCCAAUGUGAUGAUGAUCAGACCUUCUACUUCUGCUACAGAUGUGACACCUCAAAAGCAAACAGAAUCAUCUGACAUUUAAAAGACAUUUGGCGACUUUUAGAUAAGGUGCCAUCUAUAAUCACAUCAGGGAUGACCACUUAUUAAUAUUUUAAACACAGUAGACUUGUAAGCUCUGCAAAAGUGAGCAAAAAUCUGAUUUCUUGGGAAUUUCCUAACUGAGAUUCAUUACAUUUUUCAACAUUUUCCCAGAAUACCACUUAGAAUCAAAACUCCUAACAGGACAAAUUAUCCAGGAUGUGAUUCUUCACCUGUCGGUCUCCAGAGAAAGCAAGCCAGACAUGAAGUUGGCAGAGGCCCCCAGUCAAAUGUCACCACAGACUGCCAGAAACAUCACAAUAGAGGUUCUGUGUGAAGGGGAAGAGCAAAUGAGUGUUCACACACAUGCACACACAAACACAUGUGGAAAAAAAAACAUCCCUCUGCUCCCGGGCAGACAGCCAUUGGCCCACUGCAGCCUCUCAGUCAAUAGACCAGCAUUGUGCUUCAUCCAACAGGAACCGGCUGCAGAAACCUGUUACUGCACCAUGCACAUGUAGGCCGGGGCAACAGCGAACAGUUAGCCAAAGGUUGUCUGAGAUACAACCCAGUGGAUUUGUAUUUAUUUUUUUAUUUGCUUUGUCAACCAAAACACAGACAGCAGACUUCAUGUCCUAUUUUCAUAUUUCACUGUGAUGUUCUCUCUGGUUAAAGGAGGAUCCAGAAUAAUUGAGGCACCAUUUAUGGCGAGUGGUCUUUGAUUGGUUGAUCAACAAGGAUACAGCGGACUUGUCAAAGUGAUUGCAAACACAACACACUUUAACGCAAGUAAAUACAAUAUUUUUUAUCUUUUAAGUAAAAUAUUACUAAAAGAAAAAUUGGAUGGAUGCAAGGUAAUUUUAUGCAGGACAACUUUGUUGUUAGUCAGACUUUUCUGCAGGUCAGAAUUGGUCCAGCUUCUGAAACUAAUACCCCCCCCCCCCCCUAGCUUUCUUACAAGCAUUGCAAUCCGUUACCG